UAUAAAGAGAUAUAGGAAGAUGUGGUGUGAGUGCCAAUGAGACAACUCUCCAUCCAAAUAACAAUUUAAAAAAAGUAAACCAUUAUAGGUCAAUGUACGGCCUUCAACACGGAGCCUUGGCUCACACCGAACAACAAGCUAUAAAGGGCCCCAAAAUUACCAGUGUAAAACCAUUCAAACGGGAAAACUAACGGUCUAAUCUAUAUAAAAAAAACGAGAAACGAGAAACACGUAUACAUUACAUAAACAAA
rnacentral:lncRNA from 1 species